UCAGAAGAUUAGGGAAAGAAAACACAGUC
rnacentral:piRNA from 1 species